rnacentral:tRNA from 2 species
GGGGCUGUAGGGUAGCUUGGUUAUCCUCGUGGCUUUGGGAGCCAUGGACUCCGGUUCGAAUCCGGGCAGCCCCA